rnacentral:rRNA from 1 species
AGAGUUUGAUCCUGGCUCAGAACGAACGCUGGCGGCAUGCCUAACACAUGCAAGUCGAACGAGACCUUCGGGUCUAGUGGCGCACGGGUGCGUAACGCGUGGGAAUCUGCCCUUCGGUUCGGAACAACAGUUGGAAACGACUGCUAAUACCGGAUGAUGACUUCGGUCCAAAGAUUUAUCGCCGAGGGAUGAGCCCGCGUAGGAUUAGCUUGUUGGUGAGGUAAAAGCUCACCAAGGCGACGAUCCUUAGCUGGUCUGAGAGGAUGAUCAGCCACACUGGGACUGAGACACGGCCCAGACUCCUACGGGAGGCAGCAGUGGGGAAUAUUGGACAAUGGGCGAAAGCCUGAUCCAGCAAUGCCGCGUGAGUGAUGAAGGCCUUAGGGUUGUAAAGCUCUUUUACCCGGGAUGAUAAUGACAGUACCGGGAGAAUAAGCCCCGGCUAACUCCGUGCCAGCAGCCGCGGUAAUACGGAGGGGGCUAGCGUUGUUCGGAAUUACUGGGCGUAAAGCGCACGUAGGCGGCUUUGUAAGUUAGAGGUGAAAGCCCGGGGCUCAACUCCGGAAUUGCCUUUAAGACUGCAUCGCUAGAAACGUCGGAGAGUAAGUGGAAUUCCCAGUGUAGAAGUUGAAAUUUCUUAGAUUUUCUAAAAAACCCGAGGCCUACGGCACUUCAUGUUAUAUUGGUCGGUUUUGAGGUGGAAAAUCU